CAGCUCUGGAUUCAGGUUAUAAUGCCAUCUUUAUCUCUCUGCCACACAGCUCUGGUUUCAGGUUAUAAUGCCAUCUUCAUCUCUCUGCCACACACAGCUCUGUUUCAGGUUAUAAUGUCAUCUUCAUCUCUCUGCCACACACAGCUCUGGAUUCAGGUUAUAAUGCCAUCUUUAUCUCUCUGCCACACAGCUCUGGUUUCAGGUUAUAAUGCCAUCUUCAUCUCUCUGCCACACACAGCUCUGUUUCAGGUUAUAAUGUCAUCUUCAUCUCUCUGCCACACACAGCUCUGGAUUCAGGUUAUAAUGCCAUCUUUAUCUCUCUGCCACACAGCUCUGGAUUCAGGUUAUAAUGCCAUCUUCAUCUCUCUGCCACACACAGCUCUGGUUUCAGGUUAUAAUGCCAUCUUCAUCUCUCUGCCACACAGCUCUGGUUUCAGGUUAUAAUGCCAGCUAAGCACAACCAGCCGAGGCUACGUAUUAAUAUGCAUUAUAUGUACACAUAGAAACAUAGUCUGGGCAGACAGCUAGCGGUAAUUAGGCAUGAGCGAGCAAAUACACACACACACACACACACACACACACACACACACAUUUAUUAU